rnacentral:lncRNA from 1 species
UUUUAAAAAAUGCUUUAUUUUUGGUAAGCCUAGAGGGAUUCCCUAGUACAAAAGCCAGCACCCUUAUAGGGCUCUGUGUCCUCUGUCCCCUCUUCCUGGUUAUGUUACACAACCACAAGGAAGCCACAGAGGGAGCACACCCAGAACACACACACCCCCAGGGCCCUUGUAGUCUUUUCCUCUGCUUGGACAGUGUGAAAGGCACCUCACUUAAUAGUGUACACUCAUUUUCAUAGUCCAUCCAUUUUCCUGCAAAAUUUUAACUUCAUGUGGAAUGCUUAGGCUUAAGAUGUAUGCUAUUAAGUAAGUGAAGUCACACAACCUCACAAAAAAAUAAAUUAAAUGUUCUCUCUCAUAUGCAGACCCUAGCCAAUGAUCCAUGUAUGUGUGAACACAUAUACAUGUGGCUACAUUAUACCAUGAAGAAAGGAGAAGGAAAAAGGCUAAAUGUAAGGGGCAGGAAAGAACUGGAUAUAGAAUACCAGUUGUUAAAGGAGGAUAUAGAACUAAUUGUUUUCCUAAUUCUACCAUUAAUUUUUUAGUUAUUUGGUGGCAGAUAAGUACAUAAAAUAUAUUAGAUACUGAAAGUGUAAAAUCUAAUGUACAACUUCACAGCUCCAUUCUGAAUGCCCAUGCUAACAAUAUAGAAGGGUAUUACUCAAUUGAAUAGACCUUGGUUUAGCUAAUUUUAGUGUGUGAUGUUUUUAUUUAUUUGCAAGGUUGGGUUUUUGUUUUUAAGAUUUAUUUAUUUUGUUUAUAUGAGUAGCUGUCUUCAGACACACCAGAGGUUGACAUCAGAUCCAAUUACAGAUGGUCAUGAGCCACCAUGUGGUUGCUGGGAAUUGAACUCAGGACCUCUGGAAAAGCAGUCAGUGCUCUUAACCAUUGAGCCAUCUCUCCAGCCCCCUCAAGGUUCUUUUUUGUUUGUUUGUUUUUUAAUAAUAAAGUUUAUUUAUUUAUUUGUUUGGUUUUUGUUUGUUUGUUUUUCAAGACAGGGUUUCUCUUUUGUAUAGCCCUGGCUGUCCUGGAACUCACUUUGUAGACCAGGCUGGCCUCGAACUCAGAAAUCCGCCUGUCUCUGCCCCCCAAGUGCUGGGAUUAAAGACGUGUGCCACCACCGCCC